AGGCUGCAACCCGCCUGCAUGAAGUUGGAAUCGCUAGUAAUCGCGGAUCAGCAUGCCGCGGUGAAUACGUUCCCGGGCCUUGUACACACCGCCCGUCACACCAUGAGAGUCGGGAACACCCGAAGUCCGUAGCCUAACCGCGAAGGGGGGCGCGGCCGAAGGUGGGUUCGAUAAUUGGGGUGAAGUCGUAACAAGGUAUC
rnacentral:rRNA from 1 species